rnacentral:lncRNA from 1 species
GGUGCUUUACUCUCCCUGUAAUAACAGAGCCUGUGCAUUGAGAACGCCUGCAUCGCUGCUCAUGAUAAGGCAGGACGCUACGCCGCGAUGUUCACCGUGGACAAAGUCCUAACCCCACCCAUGGGCACCAUCAUGGACGUCCUGAAGGCAGACGACCGCUUCAGCCUGCUGGUCGGAGCCGUGCAGACUGCCGGGAUGACGGAACUGCUGAACCAGCAGUUGGCGCUCACCUUCUUCGCUCC